CAAAGAAUAGUUUAACGUGAGAAUCUUAGCUUUGGGAGUUGAGGGUAAGGGUU
rnacentral:tRNA from 1 species